rnacentral:rRNA from 1 species
AUUGAACGCUGGCGGCAUGCUUUACACAUGCAAGUCGAACGGUAACAGGCCUUCGGGUGCUGACGAGUGGCGAACGGGUGAGUAAUGCAUCGGAACGUACCCAGAGGUGGGGGAUAACGCAGCGAAAGCUGUGCUAAUACCGCAUGUGAUCUGAGGAUGAAAGCGGGGGACCGAGCAGCAAUGUUUGGCCUCGCGCCUUUGGAGCGGCCGAUGUCGGAUUAGCUAGUUGGUGGGGUAAAGGCCUACCAAGGCGACGAUCCGUAGCUGGUCUGAGAGGACGACCAGCCACACUGGGACUGAGACACGGCCCAGACUCCUACGGGAGGCAGCAGUGGGGAAUUUUGGACAAUGGGCGCAAGCCUGAUCCAGCAAUGCCGCGUGCGGGAAGAAGGCCUUCGGGUUGUAAACCGCCUUUGGCAGGAACGAAACGGUGUCCGCUAAUACCGGGCGCUAAUGACGGUACCUGCAGAAUAAGCACCGGCUAACUACGUG